rnacentral:ncRNA from 1 species
CUUAAAUUGUUGAGAUGAAUUAUUACGUUGAAGGUAUUGGUCAGCGACUAGGUGGAUGGUGUGAACCUAGCUUACCCUCUGCGGAACUUAUCAUUGAGAGUUAGCCGAAUCGAGUAGGUUAAUCGUUGUCCGCGUUAAGGAAACCAAGGGUCCCGGUUUUGCGGGGAAUUUAGGUGGUACCGCGGUUUUUCGUCCUAUAG